rnacentral:rRNA from 1 species
AUUGAACGCUAGCGGCAUGCCUAACACAUGCAAGUCGUACGGUAACAGGUUUCCUUCGGGGAAUGCUGACGAGUGGCGAACGGGUGAGUAAUGCAUCGGAACGUACCCAGUCGUGGGGGAUAACGUAGCGAAAGUUACGCUAAUACCGCAUACGACCUGAGGGUGAAAGCAGGGGAUCUUCGAACCUUGUGCGAUUGGAGCGGCCGAUGUCAGAUUAGCUAGUUGGUGGGGUAAAGGCCUACCAAGGCGACGAUCUGUAGCGGGUCUGAGAGGAUGAUCCGCCACACUGGAACUGAGACACGGUCCAGACUCCUACGGGAGGCAGCAGUGGGGAAUUUUGGACAAUGGGCGCAAGCCUGAUCCAGCCAUGCCGCGUGAGUGAAGAAGGCCUCGGUU